GCGCCCGUAGCUCAGUUGGAUUAGAGUAUCUGGCUACGAACCAGAAGGUCGGAGGUUCGAAUCCUUCCGGGCGUACCA
rnacentral:tRNA from 1 species